AGGCUCGCGGUUGACUAUGACGCUUUUCCCUGCGCCAAUCGUGGGGCCACCUGAACGUUGCCUAGGUGAUCAGGAAGAGCGCGCCACUCCGCACAGCUUACGCGACACUAACUACAUUAAUCAAAAAGACCGUCCAGUGGCCACACCAGUGUUGACCAAUGAGAGCUCAGGAGACGGGCAUUUCCGGACGUCUGUGGGACUCUGACCAGUGGUAGUCUAGGAGAGGGGCGUUUCUGGGAGGGCCGCCCUGUUGGGGGCGGGACUUUCGGGGUCGGACUGUUGCUUCCGUGUCCCGCCGUUAUGGCGGCGCAAGGUAGAGGAACCUAGUUGCUGGGCUGUGGCCGGCGUCCAAGAGGCUUUCUGGUUUGCAGAAACUGGAAUGGGGUAGACAUGAGAGUCCGGGAGGUCCCGCUUCUGUGCCCUGUACGCCCGUGCCCGCAGCGAGUGCUCCGCCGCCCCGAGCUCAGUGUCUCUGCCUGUCAGGGCGCGGCCCCGCGAGGGGGUGUCCGCCGGGGCCUCCGUCAAGGCCGUCUGUGCCGGUGGCCUCCGCGGAGUUGUCGCCCUUGGCGUUGUGUCCGCUUUCCGGGGUAGAAGACUCAGGCUCAAAAGCCACCCAUCCCGAGGCUGUGACCCAGCGUGUGGCUGGACUGCAGGCGUGAUAAGCGAGCCCAUGGUCUAGGCACAGGUGAGGUGGGUCUCCUGGCCUCCACCCGGCUGGACUCCGAGCCCCAGUGCCCCAAGGCCGUGAUUGAGCCGCAGGCCUCGGUGUUAAGGACAGUGUUACGUUCACAGGUGUAAAGUCGGAGUUGUCUGGAGACCCCUGAGUGGCGGUGACACAUGAGUCGUGAACAAACAAGGACUUCCCAUUUGGCCUCUGGAUGCCCAGGCUGCAGUGCCCUGGUGGCCUGGAUCAGGGAAAGAUCUGCGAAUGCGAUUUUGGAAGGAAAGUCCUAGGUUGUGGUUGCAGAUGGGCCCUGAGGUGAGUGUGCGCUGUCCAGACUAGGAACCGGUGGCUGGGUGGAGGAGAUGGGUGCAGAGAAAGAGAAGCACUGUGCACACACCAGUGGAUGUGGGGAGAGUGCACACCCAGGAACAGGCCCUGCUCUCAGAUGUGAAAGGGUGAGCAAGAGUGUCCAGGGACAGCAUUUGGAAGCAUAAGAGGAGGCUGCAGGCAGGACGGAGACUGGGGUCCCAGGUCCAGUGCCCAGUGCUUAGAUCAAAUCCAUGUGCUCUUUGCCUGGUGUUGCAGGGCCCAGGGACCUUUUUCUGAAGAAGUGGGUCUCCUUAGUGAGGUCCAGCGGGGCUUCUGCUGUGGCGUGGUGCUGUCUUUCACCAGGCCAGGCUGCUGUUUUCCUGAGAGAGGAGCUGCUGGCCCCAGUGCUGGCCUGUGUCCUGCUACCUCUCCUUCCAGACUACUGUGUAAACAAGCCCAACCCCCUUGGUCUUGGGACUUUGACAACCAGGGUCAGAAGUAUCACUGCCCGAAUAGCACAUCACACCCAGCUCCAUUAUUUUCUGGUCAGGUAACUCAGUCAGGCUCUGUGACUUUUCCAUCUCUCUGUCACGCCUCCUCCAGCAAAAGUUUUCCGCCAUCUGUCCCUUGUCCACCCCUUUACUGGCAUCAUGGGCACUCACAGGGUCACUGAUUCUGGAGCCACGGAGCUCUUCCAGUGAGGCCUUCCCUGGGUGUUCAGUUUGCCAGGUUCGGUUCUCUCAGGUGCAUAAGUGGCCCUCAGCCACCUUGGUCACCAGGUCAGAGGGUGAAUCACAGGGACCUGGGGCUGCUAACCUCUCACAAAUGCCUUGAAGAAUUACCUGCUGUGCUCCCACCGGCCCAAAGCAGUCACCCAGCUUGAACAUCGACAGGGGACCUGGCUGGUGGAAGGGCAGCUCCAGUCAGUCCAUGGCCAGAGAGGCCCGUGGAAGACUAGUUCUGGCCCCAUUGAAGAGAAAGGCUCAUGAGCACAGCUGAUGUUGAAAAGCUCCUGUCAUAUCUCAUCCUGUUUUGCGGCAGCAAGUCACCGUGCUGUGAGUGUUGUGAGCAGGAGAGCAGAAAGCUGCAGCUUCUGCAUGUUUGGGUCUAGUGCUUCACACUGGAUAAAGCUCCAAGUGCAUGGCUGGCAUGGAGGGGUGUCGCCACACUUGUGCCUUGCCCAGCACCGGCCACUUCACUCUGGGGAAAAGCCUUUGGAGGGCAGGAAAUACAGUAACGUCUUCAACUACUCCUUGUCCCCCCCCCCCCGCCUUGUUAACAUAUUAUUUAAAAUAAUCAGCCUCUUCUUUAACCUCGUUCAGUAUAAAAGAAUUAACAUUCAAGAGAGGCCCUACGAGUAGCCUUCAGGCACAGGCUAGACCUUGUGCAGAUGGGCCUCCAUCGGGGGGAGACACUGCCCUGCUGUGCUGGGUGAGGUGCGGAGGGCUGGGAGCACUGUGGCACCACUGGGUCUCAUGGAAGAAGCCUUGUUGUUUGACGAUCACUGCACAGUUGCUCAGCAUAAGCAGUCGCCUGUUCCCUGCCUGCAGUUCCCUGAGGGCGGGGCCCUGCACCCAGUGGAGUGGCACCUUGCUGUCCUCUCGUGAUUGACUUUGGCAUGGAUUGGACUACUGCUCCGAGCUCGGGGCCUGAUGGGAUAGUUUCCGGGGGCCUCUGGAGAAGACGCCCAUUCGCCGACGUGUGAAGCCUGCAUCUGACACCAGCAAUGCCCUUGUGGUGCUCCAUCAGGUCCUCAUGAUGUGAUGGUUUCAUCCCUUCCCACCACCCCGCUGCCUGGUCCUACUUGACAGUGAACCUGUCUCCAGUUACUCUCCUUGGAUGUUGGAGUCAUAGCCAAUGGAUGGCGUGAAUGGAGAGGGGCUCCCAGAUUAGCCAUCGGGGGCCUGUACACCUGGCUCGGGGCACAGCAGCAAGGUCUGGAGCAUCUCUGCCCAGCCGAGACUCAAUUUCCAUUUCUACCCCGUGCCCCUGGGAAAUGAAAGCACAAAAGCCUCUUUUCUGAAGCUUCUGACCUGCUUUCUCCUGGGGAAGAGUGUUUGGUCCAGAAGAAGCUGGGAAUGCUCCCCACGACACCACACCCAGGAUAAGUGUACAAGUUAAUGCUUUUACUUAAUUACAGAGUUGUGCAGCCACUACCUGACCCCGUUCCCAUUGCCCCAGACAGUUCCUUUGGGCACUUUUAUAGUCAGAACCUCCUCCCACCCCCCCAGCACCUGGCAGCCACCAAAUCUCCUCUCUGUCUCUAUGGUUCCCUUUUCUGGAUAUUUCGUAUUCAUGGAUUCAUACAGCAUGUAGCCUUUUGUGUCUGGUUUCUAUCACUUUGCAUAACGUUUUUGAGGUUCAUUCAUAUUAUAUCACAUAUCAGUAUUAUUUUAUUCCGUUUUAUUGCUGAAUAAUAUUCUCUUGUGCAGAUAUAGCAGAUUUUAUUCAUCACCAGUUGAUAGACUUUUUAAUUGUUUCCAAUUCUUGGCAAUUAUAAAUAAGGCUGCUAGGAACACUUGUCGACAAAUCUUUGCUUAGACAUGUUUUCAUUUCUCUUAGGUCAAUUCCUAGGAGUAGAAUUGCCAAGUCAUAUGGUAGGUUUGUGUUUAACUCUUUAGUAACUCCCACACCAUUUUCCAAAGUGUCUGUGCCACUUUAUAUUCUUAUCAGCACUGUAGGACUGUUCCAGUUUCUCCACCUUCUUCCCAACAUCAAGAUGACUUGGUGUUGUCAUCCUAGUAGGUGUGAAAUGAUAUCUCAAUGGAUUUUUUUUAAUCAUGGCAAAAUAUACAUAAAGCUUAUCAUUUUAACCAUUUUAAGCAUACAGUUCAAUGGCAUGAAUCCCCACAGUUGUGCAGGUGUUUCCCUUUAUGUCUCUAGAAUUUCUUCCUCAUCCUAAGGUAAGACUCUGCACCCAUUAAACAGUCAUCUCAGUGGAGUUUUAAUCUGCAUUUUCCUAAUAAGUAAUGAUGUCAGGCAUCUUUCCACAUGCUUAUUAACCAUCUGUUUAUCUUCCAUAAUGAAAUGUCUGUUCAUCUCUUUUGCUGAUUUCUAAUAGGGUUAUCUUCUUACCAUUGAGUUGUAAAGUUCUCCAGAGAUUCUGUAUCCAGAAUCCAUAUGUGUGUAUAUAUAUAUAUAUAUAUAUAUAUAUAUAUAUAUAUAUACACACACACACACACACAAGUAUUGUCUCUCAGUAUGUAGGUCGUCUUUUUUUAUUUUUCUCAGUGGUGUCUUUUGAAGAGUAAAAGUUUACAUUUUGAUGUAAAAUUUUACACUUGAAGUAAAAUUUAUUAGUUUUUCCUUUUAUGUACUUCCUUUUGGUGUCAUACCUAUAAACUCUUUGCCUGUUUUCUUAUAUAAAUUUCAGUUUUAGCUCUUAUGUUUAUGAUGCUUUUCAUAGUAACUUUUAUGUAUGGCGUGAGGUAAGGGUCUAAAUUCAUCUUUUUACAUGUGGAUAUCUAAUUUUCCCAGAAUCAUUUGCUGAAAAGGUGUACUUCCAAAUGUAACUUUGUUGAAAAUUAAUGAAGGGAAUUUUGGUACUCUCAGAUCUGUUCUGUUGAUCUCUAGAUCUACAGAUCUGUCUAUCCUUAUGCCAGUAGUACACUGUCUUGAUCACCUUAGCUUUAUAAAAACUUCUGAAAUUAGGUAAGGUAAAUCCCACUUUGUUCCUUGCCAAAGUUGGUUUGGCUGUUGUAGGUCUUGUAUAUCUAUACAAAUUUAGGAUCAGCUUGUUAGUUUCUACCCGGAACGUCAGCUGUAGUUUUGGUAGGAAUGGCAUGAAAUCUGUGUAUCAGUGUGGGAGUACUGUCAUUUCAAAACAUUGAGCCUUCUAACCCAAGAACAUGGGAUGUCCCCUAGAUGUUUCUCUUAGCACCGUUUUAUAGUUUUCAGAGUACAAGUAUUGGCACUUCUUUUGUUAAAUGUAUGUAUUCUCACCCUAUUCUUUUUUAGGCUACUGUGAAUGGAAUGGUUUCGUGAAUUUCAUUUUCAGGUUGUUUGUUGGUAAUAUAUUUUGGGUUUUCUCCUACCACCUUGCUAAACUUUACUAUAAUAGAUUUUCUUUUUAAAAUGGAUUCCUUGGGGUGUUUUUUACAAACAGGAUCACGUCAUCUGCAAGUAAAGACACUUCUUCUUCCUUUCCUUUUUGCAUUUCUGCUCUCCUGGGAAAGGCUGAAAGAGUCUGUGUUCUAAAUCUUUUUAUUUGGAUGCCAAGAGUGCAUCUGGGGAAGUGAGAGGGGCUCUGAAACCUUCAUGCUGAUCCAGGAGAAGAGGUUGCCUUUUCUUGUUGUAAAGGAUGUUUCACAUCACAUCACAGCAAUGAUGACAGGAAGCUCAUCUGCCAGGCUGGGAGAUGUGCCCUCUGGACCCCCGAUCCUGUGAGGCAGGGUCACCUCCUUGUAUUCAUGCAAGAGCCAGGUGGGUAUAUUAAGUGGUAAAGAAACACUGGGUGCGAGGAAAUGGAGUGGGAGAGACUGGCAGCCUGGAGUGACUGUGCCCUUUCUGUCAGGCAGCUGAGACGCUUUGACGAUGGUGUCCAUGUGGGUGAUGGUAUGCAUACCUGCCAUCGUUAAACAUAGGGGAGUCAUUGUCAGUCAGCUCUUACACAUAGGGGAGCCUGAAUCCUAGAGCAUCUGUAACUCGUCCAAGGGUGCACAACUAAUUACCAGCCGUGGUGUGUAGCUCCAGAGUUUGUGUUCUUUACCACCUGACUGUCUCUAGACCACCUGAGGGUGCUGUGAGCCUUAAAUAAAUAUCUUACACAGAA